rnacentral:miRNA from 1 species
GGCGAUCUUGUUAAAAUGCAGAUUCUGAUUCAGUAGGCCUGGAGUGGGGCCUAAGAUUCUGCAUUUUUAACAAACUC